rnacentral:lncRNA from 1 species
GAACCAAAAGUUGAUCGGAAUAUGUCAUGAAGAAGAUGAUACUGAAGCAAAACAAAUAAAGCAGCCGGUAGGAAUGACAAUGCAGAAGCCAGAACAGGAACCCACUUCAAUUUACCUAAUUGGCAAUAAUCUAGAAAGUAGAUUGCGCUAAAAGAUACCAUCAAGGCCAUCAUGGAGACUAGGAGUGCUGUGAGUCCAGCUGCUAAUUUCAAGGGUAAUCAAACCAGAAAAUCCUACUCGGCUUAACGUGAAGUGAGGAUGGACAAGAACAUCAGUGUCGAGAUAAUGGAAGAGCACAUUGCAACGCUAUCUGACACAGCAAACACGUGAAAUAUGGUUUUGGUUAUGUCUCUAGGAGUUCCAUUCUCCCCAUUAGUACCGCCUGGUACGCUGGAAGCUGUCGUGAAUACAACUGCGGUAAUAAGUGUUGCCACAAUCAUGCCUGAUUGAGCAGUGCUCUUCAUCCAUUCUUCUCCGGCUUUCCGCAAUUCUUCAUGCUCCUUGGUGAAUAGCUCUCGAGGUGUUAAUUUAUAUUUUGAAUUUCUCUUUUCUCUUUCGGAUGGUUAUGUCAAAUUUUCCACCUCCUAUAAGACCAUUCAAUUUGAAACGGUGAAAGCACUUUCCAGUUUAUAACCAUACAAAAUCAGGAUCGGCAAUCCUUUCACACUGAAAGCUUUCAAGGUAUAUGAAAAAACGAGGUUAUUUGAGAUUGUAAAUAUUUAGAGAAAUUGGAAAUGCUCACCUUAAACCAUAAUAGCUCCCGUUGCAUUUGAAGAGCUGCACCUGAUACAAUACUGAGCCGAUCCAAGGAUGGUAGUUUUGCUGCUAAAUGUAGCAUUAUAUAGAAAAUACUAGUAUUCUCUUGGUCUGAGUAAUCAACUCUGUACAGCAUUAUCAGGUCCUUUUGUAAGCCCAAAUUAUGAAUGUGAUUGAAGAUACUAGCAUGGCGGUGCAAAACAGCAAUGUGAAAUAUGCUUUUGUUCUUUUCAUCCUUUCUGAAGAUUAAAUCAGGAAAAGAGCCGAUAAGCACAGCCAAGAAUUUAUGAUUCCCCAAUCUUGCUGCCUCAAACAAUAAUUCAGAAGCGUGAUC